GCCUGGGUGACUCAGUCGGUUGAGGGUCUGACUUCGGCUCAGGUCAGGAUCUCAAGGCUGGUGGGUUCGAGCCCCGCGUCGGGCU
rnacentral:tRNA from 1 species